rnacentral:rRNA from 1 species
GAUGAACGCUGGCGGCGUGCCUAAUACAUGCAAGUCGAGCGAACGGACGAGAAGCUUGCUUCUCUGAUGUUAGCGGCGGACGGGUGAGUAACACGUGGAUAACCUACCUAUAAGACUGGGAUAACUUCGGGAAACCGGAGCUAAUACCGGAUAAUAUUUUGAACCGCAUGGUUCAAAAGUGAAAGACGGUCUUGCUGUCACUUAUAGAUGGAUCCGCGCUGCAUUAGCUAGUUGGUAAGGUAACGGUUUACCAAGGCAACGAUGCAUAGCCGACCUGAGAGGGUGAUCGGCCACACUGGAACUGAGACACGGUCCAGACUCCUACGGGAGGCAGCAGUAGGGAAUCUUCCGCAAUGGGCGAAAGCCUGACGGAGCAACGCCGCGUGAGUGAUGAAGGUCUUCGGAUCGUAAAACUCUGUUAUUAGGGAAGAACAUAUGUGUAAGUAACUGUGCACAUCUUGACGGUACCUAAUCAGAAAGCCACGGCUAACUACGUGCCAGCAGCCGCGGGUAUACGUAGGUGGGCAGCGUUAUCCGGAUUUUAUUGGGCGUAAGCGCGCGUAGGCGGUUUUUUAGUCUGAUGUGAAAGCCCACGGCUCAACCGUGGAGGGUCAUUGGAAACUGGAAAACUUGAGUGCAGAAGAGGAAAGUGGAAUUCCAUGUGUAGCGGUGAAAUGCGCAGAGAUAUGGAGGAACACCAGUGGCGAAGGCGACUUUCUGGUCUGUAACUGACGCUGAUGUGCGAAAGCGUGGGGAUCAAACAGGAUUAGAUACCCUGGUAGUCCACGCCGUAAACGAUGAGUGCUAAGUGUUAGGGGGUUUCCGCCCCUUAGUGCUGCAGCUAACGCAUUAAGCACUCCGCCUGGGGAGUACGACCGCAAGGUUGAAACUCAAAGGAAUUGACGGGGACCCGCACAAACGGUGGAGCAUGUGGUUUAAUUCGAAGCAACGCGAAGAACCUUACCAAAUCUUGACAUCCUUUGACAACUCUAGAGAUAGAGCCUUCCCCUUCGGGGGACAAAGUGACAGGUGGUGCAUGGUUGUCGUCAGCUCGUGUCGUGAGAUGUUGGGUUAAGUCCCGCAACGAGCGCAACCCUUAAGCUUAGUUGCCAUCAUUAAGUUGGGCACUCUAAGUUGACUGCCGGUGACAAACCGGAGGAAGGUGGGGAUGACGUCAAAUCAUCAUGCCCCUUAUGAUUUGGGCUACACACGUGCUACAAUGGACAAUACAAAGGGCAGCGAAACCGCGAGGUCAAGCAAAUCCCAUAAAGUUGUUCUCAGUUCGGAUUGUAGUCUGCAACUCGACUACAUGAAGCUGGAAUCGCUAGUAAUCGUAGAUCAGCAUGCUACGGUGAAUACGUUCCCGGGUCU